rnacentral:tRNA from 1 species
ACCUGGCUGACUCAGUAGGUAGAGCAUGUGACUCUUGAUCGCAGGGUUGUGGGUUUGAGCCCCAUACUGGGUG